UACGGGGGGGGCAAGCGUUGUUCGGAAUUACUGGGCGUAAAGAGCUCGUAGGCGGUGUGUCGCGUCGGCCGUGAAAACCUGCAGCUUAACUGUGGGCUUGCGGUCGAUACGGGCAUCACUGGAGUUCGGCAGGGGAGACUGGAAUUCCUGGUGUAGCGGUGAAAUGCGCAGAUAUCAGGAGGAACACCAGUGGCGAAGGCGGGUCUCUGGGCCGAUACUGACGCUGAGGAGCGAAAGCGUGGGGAGCGAACAGG
rnacentral:rRNA from 1 species